AGCGAACGCUGGCGGCAGGCCUAACACAUGCAAGUCGAACGAACUCGUCGGAGUUAGUGGCGGACGGGGGAGUAACACGGGGGAACGUGCCUGUGGGUACGGAAUAACUCAGGGAAAGUUGUGCUAAUACCGAAUGUGCCCAUAGGGGGAAAGAGUUAUCGCCAUUAGAGCGGCCCGCGUCUGAUUAGCCAUUUGGUGAGGUAACGGCUCACCAAGGCGACGAUCAGUAGCUGGUCUGGGAGGAUGACCCGCCACACUGGGACUGCGACACGGCCCAGACGCCUACGGGACGCAGCAGUGUAGUAUCUUGCGCACUGGGCGCAAGCCUGACGCCGCCAUGCCGCGUGAAUGGUGAAGGUCUUAGGAUUCUACAUUUCUUUCUCCGGGGACGAUAAUGACGGUACCCGGAGAAGAAGCCCCGGCUAACUUCGUG
rnacentral:rRNA from 1 species